rnacentral:rRNA from 1 species
CAUUACUGUAAGAUAACCGGGAUCUUUGAGACUGCGUUUUUCUACGUGUGCUCGGGUCCUUCAUCUUUCAUCCACACACACCUUUGUGCACUAUGGGGAUGUCAAAGUCCCCCAUUACAUUAAACACCGAGUUUAUUAUGCAUGUUUUAUAAUACUCUAAGGAGUAAAAUAUACAACUUUCAACAACGGAUCUCUUGGCUUUCGCAUCGAUGAAGAACGCAGCGAACGUGCGAAACGUAAUGUGAAUUGCAGAAUUCAGUGAAUCAUCGAAUCUUUGAACGCAUCUUGCGCUCCUUGGUAUUCCGAGGAGCAUGCCUGUUUGAGUGUCGUGAAGUACUCUCAAUUUCAAUCUUUUGUCGGUUUGAAAUUGGACUUGGGUGCUGUUGUGAAUCUCACAACUCGUCCUAAAUGCAUUAGCGAUCUGCCUUUGAUCACACACAAUGUGAUAAGAUUUAGAGCAUUGUUACAGUCAAGUCAGGAUUGCUUCUAACUGUCUUUGCGGACAAUUCUUCAUGUCGUUUGACCUCAGAUCAGGUAGGACUACCCGCUGAACUUAAGCAUAUCAAUA